AGAUUGAACGCUAGCGGGAUGCUUUACACAUGCAAGUCGAACGGCAGCGCGGACUUCGGUCUGGCGGCGAGUGGCGAACGGGGUGAGUAAUAUAUCGGAACGUGCCCAGUAGCGGGGGGAUAACUACGCGAAAGCGUGGCUAAUACCGCAUACGCCCUACGGGGGAAAGGGGGGGAUUCUUUCGAGAACCUCUCACUAUUGGAGCGGCCGAUAUCAGAUUAGCUAGUUGGUGAGGUAAAGGCUCACCAAGGCGACGAUCUGUAGCUGGUUUGAGAGGACGACCACGCCACACGUGGGACUGACGACACGGCCCAGACCUCCGUACGGGAGGCAGCAGGUGGGAAUUUGGACAAGUGGGGAACCUGAUCAGCACUCCGCGUGUGCGAUAGGACGGUCCGUUCGGUUAGUAA
rnacentral:rRNA from 1 species